AAAAUUCUGACUUGAUUGAUUCC
rnacentral:miRNA from 13 species